AGUUGGUGGAGUGAUUUGUCUGGUUAAUUCCGAUAACGAACGAGACCCCCGCAUAUUAACUAGUUUUACAAUUGCUUGCAAUUUUUGAACUUCUUAGAUGGACUUUUAGUGUUUUAGCUAAAGGAAGUUGGGGGCAAUAACAGGU
rnacentral:rRNA from 1 species